rnacentral:tRNA from 1 species
GAGGGUGUAGCUCAGUGGUAGAGCACCUGCUAAGCAUGCUGAGUUCAAUCCCCAGCAUUCUCC